GACGAACUCUGGCGGCGUGCUUAACACAUGCAAGUCGAACGGUAAGGCUCCAGCUUGCUGGGGUACACGAGUGGCGAACGGGUGAGUAACACGUGGGUGACCUGCCCUGCACUUCGGGAUAAGCCUGGGAAACUGGGUCUAAUACCGGAUAGGACCGCACCGUGAGGGUGUGGUGGAAAGUUUUUUCGGUGUGGGAUGGGCCCGCGGCCUAUCAGCUUGUUGGUGGGGUAAUGGCCUACCAAGGCGGCGACGGGUAGCCGGCCUGAGAGGGUGGACGGCCACAUUGGGACUGAGACACGGCCCAGACUCCUACGGGAGGCAGCAGUGGGGAAUAUUGCACAAUGGGCGGAAGCCUGAUGCAGCGACGCCGCGUGGGGGAUGACGGCCUUCGGGUUGUAAACUCCUUUCACCAUCGACGAAGGGUUUCUGACGGUAGAUGGAGAAGAAGCACCGGCUAACUACGUGCCAGCAGCCGCGGUAAUACGUAGGGUGCGAGCGUUGUCCGGAAUUACUGGGCGUAAAGAGCUCGUAGGUGGUUUGUCGCGUCGUCUGUGAAAUUCCGGGGCUUAACUCCGGGCGUGCAGGCGAUACGGGCAUAACUUGAGUACUGUAGGGGAGACUGGAAUUCCUGGUGUAGCGGUGAAAUGCGCAGAUAUCAGGAGGAACACCGGUGGCGAAGGCGGGUCUCUGGGCAGUAACUGACGCUGAGGAGCGAAAGCAUGGGGAGCGAACAGGAUUAGAUACCCUGGUAGUCCAUGCCGUAAACGGUGGGCGCUAGGUGUGGGUUUCCUUCCACGGGAUCCGUGCCGUAGCUAACGCAUUAAGCGCCCCGCCUGGGGAGUACGGCCGCAAGGCUAAAACUCAAAGGAAUUGACGGGGGCCCGCACAAGCGGCGGAGCAUGUGGAUUAAUUCGAUGCAACGCGAAGAACCUUACCUGGGCUUGACAUAGACAGGAUCGCGCCAGAGAUGGUGUUUCCCUUGUGGCUUGUAUACAGGUGGUGCAUGGUUGUCGUCAGCUCGUGUCGUGAGAUGUUGGGUUAAGUCCCGCAACGAGCGCAACCCUUGUCUUAUGUUGCCAGCACGUUGUGGUGGGGACUCGUAAGAAACUGCCGGGGUUAACUCGGAGGAAGGUGGGGAUGACGUCAAAUCAUCAUGCCCCUUAUGCCCAGGGCUUCACACAUGCUACAAUGGUCGGUACAGUGGGUUGCCAGUCCGUGAGGGCGAGCUAAUCCCGCAAAGCCGGUCUCAGUUCGGAUCGGGGUCUGCAACUCGACCCCGUGAAGUCGGAGUCGCUAGUAAUCGCAGAUCAGCAACGCUGCGGUGAAUACGUUCCCGGGCCU
rnacentral:rRNA from 1 species